UCUUGCCUUUUUGGAAUGUCUGUAAGUAGCAUCCUUGAAGCAGGAAUCGGAAUUUGUCCCAUGCCCAAAAAAGAGAUCUAUUUCAUAAAAUGUAAGUGUACAUUGUGGAUUUUACUGAAGAUUUCAAGGAAGACAGAGGAGAAGUUUGGCAGCACAAGCCACUCAGCGAAUUCUCAUUAAUCAUUUGUUUUUCUUCACCUACCAUCCCUUCCACUCCAAGUAGCUUCUAAUUCCUCUCCAUGAGCUCUUUUUAUGCAGAACUACUUAAUUUUAGUUUAUUGUAGCCCUUUCACUCUUCGAAGCCACAUUCCAGAUUACCAAACCAUUUAUACUAUGUAACACAUGUCCUUUUAGAGAGGAUUAUUUUCUAAUAAGGGAAUUUUAAAAACUUUCCCCUAUUACACAUUUUUGAGAAACAAAUAUUUGCUGAUUCUUACUAUGCUAAUCUCUUACUAUGGGUGAGAUAAAAUGAAGAUAAAAUACAUUGUUGGUAUAUUGUAAAUACCUGUGACACUUUGGGUAUAUAACCCAUCUGAUAUAGACUGAAUAAUGGUCUCCAAGUAUGUCCCUGUCAGAUUCUUAGGUGCUGUGAAUGUCGCCUCACAUGGAAAAAGGGGAUUGACUAAUAUGAUUUAGUUAAGGAUCUUGAGAUGAAAGGUUACCCUGGAUAAAGGUCCUUAUAACAGGAUGAAGGAGGAGUCAGGGUCAGAGGAGAGGGGGAAUGUGACAAUGGAAACAGAGAAGGAAGUAUGGUACCCUGAAAUUGGAAGAAAGGGAUGCAAGGCAAAGAUUCCAGGUCAAUACUAGAAAUUGAAGAAAGCAAGGAAAUGGAUUCUCCUUUCGGUGCAUUGAGAAAGAACCAGCCCCACAGGCACCUUGACUUUAGCCCAGUGAAACUGUUUUUGGACUUCUGACCUCCAGAACUUUAAGAGAACACUUUGUGUUGUUUUUAGCCACUAAAUCUGUGUUAAUUUGUCACAGCAGCAGCAGUAAACUAAUACCCUAUUUUGUCUCCUCCCCCUCUUCUAAGAGGUUUGAGCCUUUCCUCCUGUGCAUAUCACCUGCCCUAGUUCACCAGGCAGGGACCUUUCUACAUCAGUCAAAACAUAGUGGCUCUUGGGUUUGUAGAAAGGAUGAAUAGCUGUUGCUGUCAAAUGCACAGAAGAAUGGGCAGAAAUCUCUACGUAGGUAUGUAGCACAGGAUUCACUCUGCCCAAAGAGAAGUCUGUUUUUUGCCCCUGAUUCCUGGGAAAUAAUUUUUAAGGCCUUGGACUGUCUUUCCUCAAGAGCCUCUUUGUUCACCCAGGGGACUUGGGCCCAUGACAAAUAAUCUGUGGUGACAAUAUGAUUUACG
rnacentral:lncRNA from 1 species